AACGAACGCUGGCGGCAUGCCUAACACAUGCAAGUCGAACGAGACCUUCGGGUCUAGUGGCGCACGGGUGCGUAACGCGUGGGAACCUGCCCUUAGGUUCGGAAUAACUCCCCGAAAGGGGUGCUAAUACCGGAUAAUGUCUUCGGACCAAAGAUUUAUCGCCUUUGGAUGGGCCCGCGUUGGAUUAGCUAGUUGGUAGGGUAAAAGCCUACCAAGGCGACGAUCCAUAGCUGGUCUGAGAGGAUGAUCAGCCACACUGGGACUGAGACACGGCCCAGACUCCUACGGGAGGCAGCAGUGGGGAAUAUUGGAAAAUGGGCGAAAGCAUGAUCAAGCAAUGCCGCGUGAGUGAUGAAGGCCUUAGGGUUGUAAAGCUCUUUUACCCGGGAUGAUAAUGACAGUACCGGGAGAAUAAGCGCCGGCUAACUCCGUG
rnacentral:rRNA from 1 species